rnacentral:rRNA from 1 species
CAGUAGCGUAUAUUAAAGUUGUUGCGGUUAAAAAGCUCGUAGUUGGAUUUCUGCCGAGGACGACCGGUCCGCCCUCUGGGUGAGUAUCUGGCUCGGCCUGGGCAUCUUCUUGGAGAACGUAGCUGCACUUGACUGUGUGGUGCGGUAUCCAGGACUUUUACUUUGAGGAAAUUAGAGUGUUUCAAGCAGGCUUACGCCUUGAAUACAUUAGCAUGGAAUAAUAAGAUAGGACCUCGGUUCUAUUUUGUUGGUUUCUAGAGCUGAGGUAAUGAUUAAUAGGGAUAGUUGGGGGCAUUCGUAUUUAACUAUCAGAGGUGAAAUUCUUGGAUUUGUUAAAGACGGACUACUGCGAAAGCAUUUGCCAAGGAUGUUUNCAUUGA